CCAGAGGAAUUUUAUGAACUGCCUCUUCUAAAGCAGAGGAUUUUCCGAUCGACUCUAGCUCUGUAUAUUUACUGUAUUUACUUGAAUCCAAGACAAGGUAACCUUUUGUGCAACAGAGGACUACAAGAAUAUCUGCUCUGACCUGCAUCACAAACCAGUCACACCAAAAACCCACAAAAAACCAAAAGCCCAAACCUUACUGUCACAGGGAAGACACAAGGGACGGACCCCAAGGAGUCAAGGGGGGGACCCCUGGGGGCCCGAACGCCCCAGGAAAGAUGAGAAGAAAGAGAGAGUGAGGGAAAAUCCCUUACCUGCAGCCAGAACUGCAGUGAGACCGGAAGUGGUGGCUGGACCCACACAGCUCGUUAGCCACAUCUUUUUAAAACUGCGGCCAGUUGGAGAGAGAGGGAGGAAGAGCCGGCAUGGGGAGAUAAAAAGCAUCAUGGGUGAGGCAGAGGGAAGAAGGGUGGUAAGCGAGUUGACAGAGGAGGUACUCCCAGAACCCCUUCCUGAGGAUAGAAGAAACACGAUUGCCUCCCACGGGGCAGAAGGCUGCCUCCGAGUUCUUCAGGAGGAAGAUGCUGGUGGCAGGCUAGAGAAAGAAGAAGCGGGCAUGCCGCAUCCCAAUGGAGGACCCCUGGGAGAGAGUCCAGGGCAUCAGAAAGGCGAGCGGGGUAACCAGGGUGGGCCCCAGAGAAGACGGGAGAGUGAUGAGAUUUGAGGCGCUGAGUUAAGAGGGAUUGAUACAGGUUCAGCCAGGCUCCAGGCACAGUCCUAAGUGGGAGGCAGAGGGCUUAGGCAGCAACAGGGGCUGCUGGAAACAAGCCCCAGGACAUAAAGUGGCCCAACGGGGAAUAUUAAGUAGCCAGAGCUGGAAAGGACGUCAAGGGUCUAGUUAGCUUGCAGAUUACCCACCACAAGGUAGGGAAGAGAGUGGCACCCAGGUGUGGGCAGGCAUAGAUCAGGGCUAAUUAGGGAACUCUCAGGCUAAGCUGACCGAUUUUGGCAUAGUCAGAAGGUCACGGGUACUGUGAAUAUUCCUUCUUUUUUUUCGGUUUUGGUUUCCCACCUUUGGAGGGGUUGGGAGGUUGGCAACAUAGAGCCCUAGAGUUAACCCAUUGGGAAGGAGGGCUCUGCCAUAUAAGGGCUGAGAUGGCCAGGCAGGCCCAUGAAGCGUAGGUCUGAGUUGGGUAAUAGCGUGAAGCCUAACACAUAGUCCCAGGAGAAACUAGAAUACCUGCAAGUGAGGGUCAGGCCCAGAAAGAUAUCAGCUCCCUGUUGUGGCUGGGUUCAGGGCGAGGUACAGGGGAGGUUGGAACCUCGCA
rnacentral:lncRNA from 1 species